UACGUAGGGUGCGAGCGUUGUCCGGAAUUAUUGGGCGUAAAGAGCUUGUGGGCGGUUUGUCGCGUCUGCUGUGAAAUCUCUGGGCUCAACCCAGAACGGUCAAGUGAUACUGUCGUGCUAGAGUGCGGAAGGGGCAACUGGAAUUCUUGGUGUAGCGGUGAAAUGCGUAGAUAUCAGGAGGAACACCGGUGGCGAAGGCGGGUCUCUGGGCAGUAACUGACGCUGAGGAGCGAAAGCGUGGGGAGCGAACAGG
rnacentral:rRNA from 1 species